rnacentral:rRNA from 1 species
CGCGUAGGUGGUAGUGUAAGUCUGAGGUGGAAUCCUGCGGCUUAACCGCAAAACUGCCUUGGAAACUGCAUUACUUGAGUCAGUGAGGGGAGGGUAGAAUUCCCGGUGUAGCGGUGAAAUGCGUAGAUAUCGGGAGGAAGGCCUGUGGCGAAGGCGGCCCUCUGGCGCUGGACUGACACUGAGGCGCGAAAGCGUGGGUAGCAAACAGGAUUAGAUACCCUGGUAGUCCACGCCCUAAACGGUGGGUACUAGGUGUAGGGCUCGUAAGGGUUCUGUGCCGAAGGGAAACCAUUAAGUACCCCGCCUGGGGAGUACGGCCGCAAGGUUGAA